AUGAAAUGUGUUGGGAAGUAUUCAGUGUCCUACUGCUUGGAAGAGAUGACCUCCGUAGGAAGUUGUGAAGUGUCAAGAGCCACAGUAAAUACACAAGGAAUGUUUUCCUUGACAAAUAUAAGGAGACCUUAGUUUUUCAGUUUACUGAAACCUUUCCUUUCAGUUCUAUUACAGAAUCACUUGAAACAAAAGUAAAGCAAACUAUAUGAAGUAACUGCUGGGUGCGGUGGCUCAAGCCUGUAAUCCCAGCACUUUGGGAGGCCGAGGCGGGUGGAUCACGAGGUCAAGAAAUCGAGACCAUCCUGGUCAACAUGGUGAAACCCCGUCUCUACUAAAAAUACAAAAAAUUAGCUGGGCAUGGUGGCGCGUGCCUGUAAUCCCAGCUACUCAGGAGGCUGAGGCAGGAGAAUUGCCUGAACCCAGGAGGCGGAGGU
rnacentral:lncRNA from 13 species